rnacentral:rRNA from 1 species
CGUUAAGUCGACCGCCUGGGGAGUACGGCCGCAAGGUUAAAACUCAAAUGAAUUGACGGGGGCCCGCACAAGCGGUGGAGCAUGUGGUUUAAUUCGAUGCAACGCGAAGAACCUUACCUGGUCUUGACAUCCACGGAAGUUUUCAGAGAUGAGAAUGUGCCUUCGGGAACCGUGAGACAGGUGCUGCAUGGCUGUCGUCAGCUCGUGUUGUGAAAUGUUGGGUUAAGUCCCGCAACGAGCGCAACCCUUAUCCUUUGUUGCCAGCGGUCCGGCCGGGAACUCAAAGGAGACUGCCAGUGAUAAACUGGAGGAAGGUGGGGAUGACGUCAAGUCAUCAUGGCCCUUACGACCAGGGCUACACACGUGCUACAAUGGCGCAUACAAAGAGAAGCGACCUCGCGAGAGCAAGCGGACCUCAUAAAGUGCGUCGUAGUCCGGAUUGGAGUCUGCAACUCGACUCCAUGAAGUCGGAAUCGCUAGUAAUCGUGGAUCAGAAUGCCACGGUGAAUACGUUCCCGGGCCUUGUACACACCGCCCGUCACACCAUGGGAGUGGGUUGCAAAAGAAGUAGGUAGCUUAACCUUCGGGAGGGCGCUUACCACUUUGUGAUUCAUGACUGGGGUGAAGUCGUAACAAGGUAACCGUAGGGGAACCUGCGGUUGGAUCACCUCCUUACCUUAAAGAAGC